UGGGGAAUAUUGGACAAUGGGCGAAAGCCUGAUCCAGCCAUGCCGCGUGUGUGAAGAAGGUCUUCGGAUUGUAAAGCACUUUAAGUUGGGAGGAAGGGCAGUAAGCGAAUACCUUGCUGUUUUGACGUUACCGACAGAAUAAGCACCGGCUAACUCUGUGCCAGCAGCCGCGGUAAUACAGAGGGUGCGAGCGUUAAUCGGAUUUACUGGGCGUAAAGCGUGCGUAGGCGGCUAAUUGAGUCGGAUGUGAAAUCCCCGAGCUUAACUUGGGAAUUGCAUUCGAUACUGGUUAGCUAGAGUGUGGGAGAGGAUGGUAGAAUUCCAGGUGUAGCGGUGAAAUGCGUAGAGAUCUGGAGGAAUACCGAAGGCGAAGGCAGCCAUCUGGCCUAACACUGACGCUGAGGUACGAAAGCAUGGGGAGCAAACAGG
rnacentral:rRNA from 1 species